GAACGCUGGCGGCGUGCCUAAUACAUGCAAGUAGAACGCUGAAGGAGGAGCUUGCUUCUCCGGAUGAGUUGCGAACGGGUGAGUAACGCGUAGGUAACCUGCCUGGUAGCGGGGGAUAACUAUUGGAAACGAUAGCUAAUACCGCAUAAGAGUAGAUGUUGCAUGACAUUUGCUUAAAAGGUGCAAUUGCAUCACUACCAGAUGGACCUGCGUUGUAUUAGCUAGUUGGUGGGGUAACGGCUCACCAAGGCGACGAUACAUAGCCGACCUGAGAGGGUGAUCGGCCACACUGGGACUGAGACACGGCCCAGACUCCUACGGGAGGCAGCAGUAGGGAAUCUUCGGCAAUGGACGGAAGUCUGACCGAGCAACGCCGCGUGAGUGAAGAAGGUUUUCGGAUCGUAAAGCUCUGUUGUAAGAGAAGAACGAGUGUGAGAGUGGA
rnacentral:rRNA from 1 species